UACGUAGGUGGCAAGCGUUUGUCCGGAUUUAUUGGGUUUAAAAGGGUGCGUAGGCGGCUUUGUAAGUCAGUGGUGAAAUAUGGCAGCUCAACUGUCAAGGUGCCAUUGAUACUGCGGAGCUUGAGUACAGAUGAGGUAGGCGGAAUUGACGGUGUAGCGGUGAAAUGCGUUAGAUAUCGUCAAGAACACCGAUAGCGAAGGCAGCUUACUAGGCUGUAACUGACGCUGAGGCACGAAAGUGUGGGGAUCAAACAGG
rnacentral:rRNA from 1 species